GAAAGCCGGAUGCUCGAAAUGGGCACGUCCGGUUUGAUGAGCGGGGACGGGAAACGUGCGUCGCUUCAGCGUUAGCAACCGCGCUCGUCCUCGACUCUAC
rnacentral:ncRNA from 1 species